GACGAACGCUGGCGGCGUGCUUAACACAUGCAAGUCGAACGGAAAGGCCCUGCUUUUGUGGGGUGCUCGAGUGGCGAACGGGUGAGUAACACGUGAGUAACCUGCCCUCGACUUUGGGAUAACUUCAGGAAACUGGGGCUAAUACCGGAUAGGAGCUCCUGCUGCAUGGUGGGGGUUGGAAGGUUUCGGCGGUUGGGGAUGGACUCGCGGCUUAUCAGCUUGUUGGUGGGGUAGUGGCUUACCAAGGCUUUGACGGGUAGCCGGCCUGAGAGGGUGACCGGCCACAUUGGGACUGAGAUACGGCCCAGACUCCUACGGGAGGCAGCAGUGGGGAAUAUUGCACAAUGGGCGGAAGCCUGAUGCAGCAACGCCGCGUGCGGGAUGACGGCCUUCGGGUUGUAAACCGCUUUCGCCUGUGACGAAGCGUGAGUGACGGUAAUGGGUAAAGAAGCACCGGCUAACUACGUG
rnacentral:rRNA from 1 species